rnacentral:tRNA from 1 species
AAAUCCGUCGACUUUAGAAAUCGUGAGGGUUCAAGUCCCUCUAUCCCCAAUAAAAAAAAA